AUUGAACGCUGGCGGCAUGCCUUACACAUGCAAGUCGAACGGUAACAGGUCUUCGGAUGCUGACGAGUGGCGAACGGGUGAGUAAUACAUCGGAACGUGCCUAGUAGUGGGGGAUAACUACUCGAAAGAGCAGCUAAUACCGCAUACGACCUGAGGGUGAAAGCGGGGGAUCGCAAGACCUCGCGCAAUUGGAGCGGCCGAUAUCAGAUUAGGUAGUUGGUGGGGUAAAGGCUCACCAAGCCAACGAUCUGUAGCUGGUCUGAGAGGACGACCAGCCACACUGGGACUGAGACACGGCCCAGACUCCGACGGGAGGCAGCAGUGGGGAAUUUUGGACAAUGGACGCAAGUCUGAUCCAGCCAUGCCGCGUGCGGGAAGAAGGCCUUCGGGUUGUAACCGCUUUUGUCAGGGAAGAAACGCUCUGGGUUAAUACCUCGGGGUAAUGACGGUACCUGAAGAAUAAGCACCGGCUAACUACGUGCCAGCCGCCGCCGUAA
rnacentral:rRNA from 1 species